GGAGUCGGCUGGACAGUCGCUCCGCCCGGUCUUAAAGGACCGGGGCGGGGAGGAAAGUCCGGGCUCCGCAGGGCAAGGUGCCAGGUAACGCCUGGGGGGCGCGAGCCCACGGAAAGUGCCACAGAAAACAUACCGCCGAUCCCGCUGCUAUCCCUGAACACAUUGGCGAACGCGCUAUAUGAGGUCCCAUCACGAUGUCCUCGCCCGUGUCUCGCCAGUCUGGCCAGGGAUAGCAGCGGGAGGUAAGGGUGAAAAGGUGCGGUAAGAGCGCACCGCGCGGGUGGUAACAUCCGCGGCAGGGCAAACCCCACCUGGAGCAAGACCGAAUAGGGGGGCGAUAGUACGGCCCGUACUGCUCCCGGGUAGGUCGCUAGAGCUGUGCGGCGACGCACAGCCCAGAGGAAUGACUGUCCUCGACAGAACCCGGCUUAUAGGCCGACUCCUUCA
rnacentral:RNase_P_RNA from 1 species